rnacentral:lncRNA from 1 species
ACCCUGAGCAUCCUGUGCUGUCUUGGCCACUGUCUUCCUGGGAACCACUCCCACUGAACUGUAACUCAUUAUCUACUGUAGAUAAAGUAGGUUAGGACCAUAAACCACCAUUACCAUGUCCCUUCAAGACAUACCAAAAACACACACAAGCACAGCCAUAUUCCUGCAGCGAUAUUCCUGCAGCCAUAUUCCUGCAGUGAUAUUCCUACAGUGAUAUUCCUACAGCGAUAUUCCUACAGUGAUAUUCCUACAGUGAUAUUCCUACAGUGAUAUUCCUACAGUGAUAUUCCUACAGUGAUAUUCCUACAGUGAUAUUCCUGCAGUGAUAUUCCUACAGUGAUAUUCCUGCAGCGAUAUUCCUACAGUGAUAUUCCUACAGUGAUAUUCCUGCAGUGAUAUUCCUACACUCGUUCACUCUCACUUCUCCCUUCGCUCAUUCCCUCGUCUUCCGUGUUCUCCCCCUUUCUUCUUCGAGCCUGGUUGAUGCCCCACCAAGCCGAAGGGACAGGAGAGGAGAGGAGAGGAGGAGGAGAGGAGAGGAGAGGGAAGAAGGAGGAGAUUCUGUGCUGUGGAACAAAUGAGCUCAGCGUGCUGAACUAUUCCAAAGCCAAACACUGACUCAGAGGAGGGGCCUCCUGCCAGGCCAUGAAGUGAGAAGUGAGGGUCACAGGCAGUCUUUCAGUCAGACAGUAGAGAGAAGAGCAGUCAGUCUCUCAGUCAGACAGUGGAGGCAAGAGCAGUCAGUCUCUCCCUGACAGUGGAGGCAAGAGCAGGCAGUCUCUCAGUCAGACAGUGGAGGCAAGAGCAGGCAGUCUCUCAGUCAGACAGUGGAGGCAAGAGCAGUCAGUCUCUCCCUGACAGUGGAGAGAAGAGCAGUCAGUCUCUCAGUCAGACAGUGGAGGCAAGAGCAGUCAGUCUCUCCCUGACAGUGGAGGCAAGAGGCUGAAGUUAGACACACGCAGCACCAGAGACUGAUGUGUGAGUGAGUACAGGCGCAGACUAAACGCGGUUUGUGCAGCUGCUAUUUGUGUGAUCUCCACGGCUCUACCGACCAGACAGCAGAGACAGUUUUAUGGCAGAGAUCAUGUGUGUGUUGCAUGCUGGUGAAUCCUUGAGUCCUUGAGUUGGCAUACCGAGCCUGUCUGACCCAAACCUGGCCUUAUCUCCCCGCUGCUCUGGACGUCUGAUGCUGCUGUGGGUGUGUUGCUCUACAUGUCUGGGCACUACUUGGGAGGUCUGAGACAGCUGUUGACCUUGAAGGACUCAUAAAAGUGACCUCUAGCAUUCGAUCAUGAGCACACACCUAUACAGAUGUUGACCUUAAAGGACUCAUAAAAGUGACCUCUAGCAUUCCGUCAUGAGCACA